rnacentral:rRNA from 14 species
GAAAGGGCGCGUGAGGACAUUGCGAGAAAUCAUUGAGUAUUUGAGUUCCGGGGGGAGUAUGGUUGCAAGACUGAAACUUAAAGGAAUUGACGGAGGGGCACCACAAGGCGUGGAGCUUGCGGCUUAAUUUGACCCAACACGGAGAAACUUACCAGACCAAGACAUCAUUGAGGAUUGACAGACGAGGAGGUUUUUCGAGAUAGGAUGGGAGGUGGUGCAUGGCCGUUCUUAGUUGGUGGAGUGAUUUGUCAGGUUAAUUCCGAUAACGAACGAGAUUUUAGUGGAAGAGACGUUGUUGUGAGAUUCAUUCUCAAAACAAUGGUUAUUUCAGAUGGAUAGGAAAAUAAACUAUAGGAAGAUUAAAGUGAUAACAGGUCUGUGAUGCCCUUAGAUGGUUUGGGCUGCACGCGUGCUACAAUGAUAGAGACAGAGAUCCACUUCUCAAUCAAACGAGAGGAUUGACGCAUCGAAGGAUGGGUUGAAAGGAUGGAGAAUCUAUUCAUGUUAGGGGAUUAACGAUUGGAAUUAUUCGUUAUGAACACGGAAUGCCUAGUAAGUAUAAGUCAACAGGUUAUAUUGAUUAGGUCCCUGCCUCUUGUACACACCGCCCGUCGCUGCUACCGAUUGAAUAGUAAAUGUGAAAUGGGAGGACUCGGCCAAGUCGUUCGUUUGUUUGAUUUGGAAGAGGAAAACUAUUGAAUGUUUAUAUUUAGAGGAAGCAAAAGUCGUAACAAGGUUUCCGUAGGUGAACCUGCGGAAGGAUCAAU